ACGCUCGACACCUACGGGAGCAGCAGUGGGGAAUAUUGGGCAAUGGGCGAAAGCCUGACCCAGCAACGCCGCGUGAGGGAAGAAGGUUUUCGGAUUGUAAACCUCUGUCCUCAGGGACGAAGGACGUGACGGUACCUGAGGAGGAAGCCCCGGCUAACUACGUGCCAGCAGCCGCGGUAAUCUGAGGCGGGCGUGGCGAAGGC
rnacentral:rRNA from 1 species